rnacentral:snoRNA from 1 species
GGCCCCGUCCUCUCUUCGCCAACAGACAUUUCUUAAGUAUUCACUGGUUAUUCAAGGGAGGCAAAAUAUAUAUAGUCUCCUAAAAAACUCAAGCUAGCUGGCUGUUUGUCUUGUAAGCUGUCAGACAUAGAUCC